UAACAUAUGCUUGUCUCAAAGAUUAAGCCAUGCAUGUCUAAGUAUAAACAACUUUAUACUGUGAAACUGCGUACAGCUCAUUAAAUCAGUCAUUAUUUAUUUGAUGGUUUCUUACUACACAUGGAUACCCGUAGUAAUUCUAGAGCUAAUACAUGCAAAAAAUCCCGACUCACGAAGGGAUGUAUUUAUUAGAUAAAAAACCAAUGCAUCCUCUGGGUGCCUUUUGUGGUGAUUCAUAAUAACUGAUCGAAUCGCAUGGCCUUGUGCUGGCGAUAGUU
rnacentral:rRNA from 1 species